rnacentral:lncRNA from 1 species
UGGGGGGUAACAUAGGAAAUUUUUCAUUUUGCUUAUUUUGUUUUCAUACUUUUUCUUUUAUUUUUCUUGUCAAAGUGUGCUUGAGCUUGUGGAAAUACAAGUGAUAGGUUAGAAGUGUGUAUAUAGGUUGAUUGUAUUUAAUAUAAAUUUUGCAUGAUGGUGAAUGAUUUUAAAUUUUUGAUUAUUAGACUACUAAGUUCUAU